rnacentral:rRNA from 1 species
UACGUAGGGUGCAGGCGUUAAUCGGAAUUAUUGGGCGUAAAGAGCUCGUAGGCGGUUUGUCGCGUCUGCUGUGAAAACCUAAGGCUCAACCUUGGGCUUGCAGUGGGUACGGGCAGACUAGAGUGCGGUAGGGGUGACUGGAAUUCCUGGUGUAGCGGUGGAAUGCGCAGAUAUCAGGAGGAACACCGAUGGCGAAGGCAGGUCACUGGGCCGCAACUGACGCUGAGGAGCGAAAGCAUGGGGAGCGAACAGG